GACGAACGCUGGCGGCGUGCUUAACACAUGCAAGUCGAACGGUGAAGCCUUCGGGUGGAUCAGUGGCGAACGGGUGAGUAACACGUGAGCAAUCUGCCCUUGACUCUGGGAUAACUUCGGGAAACCGGAGCUAAUACCGGAUAUGACAUCUGGCCGCAUGGUCUGGGUGUGGAAAGAUUUAUCGGUCAAGGAUGAGCUCGCGGCCUAUCAGCUUGUUGGGGGGUAAGUGG
rnacentral:rRNA from 1 species